rnacentral:rRNA from 1 species
GAUGAACGCUAGCGGCAGGCUUAACACAUGCAAGUCGAGGGGUAUAGUUCUUCGGAAUUAGAGACCGGCGCACGGGUGCGUAACGCGUAUGCAAUCUACCUUUCACAGAGGGAUUGCCCCAGAGAAAUUUGGAUUAAUACCUCAUAGUAUAGCAGUUUCGCAUGAAACCACUAUUAAAGUCACAACGGUGAAAGAUGAGCAUGCGUCCCAUUAGCUAGUUGGUAAGGUAACGGCUUACCAAGGCAACGAUGGGUAGGGGUCCCGAGAGGGAGAUCCCCCACACUGGUACUGAGACACGGACCAGACUCCUACGGGAGGCAGCAGUGAGGAAUAUUGGACAAUGGGCGCAAGCCUGAUCCAGCCAUGCCGCGUGCAGGAUGACGGUCCUAUGGAUUGUAAACUGCUUUUAUACAGGAAGAAACACUACUUCGUGAAGUAGCUUGACGGUACUGUAAGAAUAAGGAUCGGCUAACUCCGUGCCAGCAGCCG